CAUUGCAAAUUCCAGCAGAGUUUGUGGAUGACAGUUAUUCAGAAGAGGAGAAGGACAUGGAACUAUCUGGCCUCAGUGAAAUUUUGGAAAUUCUUGAAAAUGAUGCCCUCGAGGACGAUGACCAGCUUUCCCUGCUUGGCUUUCCAGAUGAUGAUAUGACAUUGAUGUCCAUGAUGGAGGAACAGGUACAGAAAACAAGGACUAUGGGGACCGGUAACCAAAGUGAGACGAAUCAAGUGCAGCCACUCUCUAAAAGUUUCAAUGCCCUAAAACAGGACA